rnacentral:rRNA from 1 species
UCGGACGGUAGCACAGAGAGCUUGCUCUUGGGUGACGAGUGGCGGACGGGUGAGUAAUGUCUGGGGAUCUGCCCGAUAGAGGGGGAUAACCACUGGAAACGGUGGCUAAUACCGCAUAACGUCGCAAGACCAAAGAGGGGGACCUUCGGGCCUCUCACUAUCGGAUGAACCCAGAUGGGAUUAGCUAGUAGGCGGGGUAAUGGCCCACCUAGGCGACGAUCCCUAGCUGGUCUGAGAGGAUGACCAGCCACACUGGAACUGAGACACGGUCCAGACUCCUACGGGAGGCAGCAGUGGGGAAUAUUGCACAAUGGGCGCAAGCCUGAUGCAGCCAUGCCGCGUGUAUGAAGAAGGCCUUCGGGUUGUAAAGUACUUUCAGCGGGGAGGAAGGCGAUGAGGUUAAUAACCCUGUCGAUUGACGUUACCCGCAGAAGAAGCACCGGCUAACUCCGUGCCAGCAGCCGCGGUAAUACGGAGGGUGCAAGCGUUAAUCGGAAUUACUGGGCGUAAAGCGCACGCAGGCGGUCUGUUAAGUCAGAUGUGAAAUCCCCGGGCUUAACCUGGGAACUGCAUUUGAAACUGGCAGGCUUGAGUCUUGUAGAGGGGGGUAGAAUUCCAGGUGUAGCGGUGAAAUGCGUAGAGAUCUGGAGGAAUACCGGU